GACUGUAGGCGUCAGUGAUAUGUGUUAAACUGUACAUAGGAUGAAUCUUUUAGAGAUGGCUUUCCAAUAGCGACUACGCAAGUUCGUUGCGAAACGUGAAUUUAAGUUUCGAAGAACGUGGUAUGAAGGUUGAAAUAUUUCAAGCUCGAACUAUCCAGUUCAGAGUCGAUGACUUUCCGCUGGCGAAUAAAUCGAGAAAAAGAUUGGAAAUUAUAGACAGACUAUCGAUUAUUGCCGAAAAUAAUCGAAGGCCAAGAAUACGGAAGAUAAUAUUUCAAGCCGGACGCUAAAUCAACCUUCUACGUUUGUUCGUCGCUUUCUGUAAAUGGGAAAAGUAAAGGAAAUGAAUAAACGAGCUUCGUACGAGAAAACGUGACGAGCGGACGCCAAGAUAAACGUAAAUGAUCACUCGAUAGCUUGCGAGGAACGAGCAGGAUGUAUAAAAACAUGGAAUUUCUUGAAAAAACGUUUGAUCCAACAAUCGGUAACUCGAUAUGUAUAGAUAUAUUUGAAGAAACACUUGAUAACACGAAAUAAUUUAUACUUUGUUUCAACUCGAGUCCAAUCUGCUCAUAAAUUAGAAUAAUAAAUCGCAAGAAUAAAUCUUCAUAAAUC